AUGCUUACUUUGGCAGCACUUUUACAAAAAUUGGAAUGAUACAGAGACCAUUAGCAUCUGCAUAUAAGGGUGACAUGCAAAUUCAGCAAUCAUUCCACAUUUUU